UUAAAGUAUACGUUGCUAUUACUACUGUUCUGAAACAGGAAUACCUGAGAAUACCAUCAUGUGAAAAUGAAUGGAAAGUAAUUGCUAACGAUUUUGAUGAUCAAUGGAAUUUUUAUAAUUGCAUCGGUGCUAUGAACGGCAAACAUUUUAAAAUCGAUCCACCAUUACAAUCAGGAUCUUUGUAUUAUAAUUAUAAAAAUGCCUUUUCUAUUGUAUUACUGGCUGUGGUGGAUGCACAAACUUAGAUUCAUACAUAGAUAUUGGUACAAAUCGUAAAAUCAGUGAUUCAGGGAUAUAGAAUAAGUGCACUCUUAAAACUUAUCUUGACAAUAAUCUGAAAAUUCCUAAAUCAUCACGUUUGCCUAACACGGAAAAAAAAUUCCCUUUUGUCUUGGAGAUGAAGGAUUUCCAUUAAAUAUAAAAGUUCUUAUUCUUUAUUCACGAGAUCUAUGUAACGGCAGAAAAAAUAGGAAAAUAUUUAAUUAUAGAUUAUUUAGAGCCCGACGAUGUUCUGAAAAUGCUUUUGGGAUAUUAAGAGCUAGAUUCCAAAUUUUUAGAUCACCAAUGCGAUAUAAUCCUGAUGAUGUGACAAAAAUUGUUCUAGCUUGUUGUUGUAUACAUAAUAUGUUAAGAAGUAAAGUAGUAGGAAGACUCAUGUAUACUCCUCCCACUUUUCUUGAUGAAGAAAACGAGCUUGGGUAUAGAUUUCAAUUAGGAGAAUGGCAACAAGAGCCUGUUUUCGGAAUAGCAAAUUUAGUCAAUCAGGGUGGUAAUCGCCAUGCUAAUAUUGCUCUUCGUCUCAGAGAUGAACGGUGUGACUAUUUUAAUGGAACAGGGGUAAUUCCGUGGCAAUAACGUAUGAUUACUAUCUGCAUAAUGAACUGCUUUUCUUAUUUUAUAAUAACGUUAUUUUAUAAUGGUUUGAUUUCAAUAACUUUUAUGUAUCAUAUAUAUAUAAUUGUAUUUAAUUUCAAUAAUGUUAAGCUAUCUCUUGUCUCUUGAUAUUUAUGAAAAUUAUAAAAGACUAUUAGAUUAAUAUAGAAUAAUUUUGUUUUAUAUUCUUUCUACAUUAUAUACUGUUUAACGCUUUUCAGUAUGUAAAUUUGAUGCAAAAAAUAAAAGAUUACUUAAAAAAUAAACUUUAUUUUUUGUAACAUUAUUAUAUUGUUACAAACUAUCUUUGCUUUUUCUAAUAUCUAAAUAUGUAAUGAAAUAUUCUUAAUUCUAAUAUAAUUAAAUAUUCACUAGCAUAACGAAACAAGAGUAUAUCUUUUUACAUAUUCAUCUUUAUACACAUCAACUUAUGUGUAUAAAGAUCUUAUCUUAUCUUUGUCAUCUUUAUACACAACAAGUGGCACGGAGUUUCAAAUAAAGAAAAAUAUUUAAAUGACCAUUUUGUUGCCUUCUUUUUUUUUGCUGUAUGUGGUCUAAAGUCAAUAAUGGUGAAUAUAAAAAAAAAUUCGGCUAUAAAGUAGUAUCUUCAUUACUAAAAUAAUUUUUUAAAAAAUUAAGAAUAAGCAUUCUUCACUAUUAUAUCACCCUUAGAUAACUAAAUACAACAAUUUCAAAUUCAUGUUAUAUCUACCACACAUUUACCAGCACUUACGUGCUGUAUUACUUCGAUUAUUGUAAACUUUUUUUAUUUUAUCAAUUAUUUCACUCAAACGAGCAAGUGCACCGUUUAAAAAAUUGAACAGUACUUUUCUGGACAACUAAGAUGUAUUGUUGUAAAGUUUCACUAACAUUUGUUCAUUACUUCUACGUUUAAUACGACAAUAAAAACUCUGUAAAAAUUCCGGAAAAUUCAUCAAUUCCCAUAAAAGCUCAUGUUAAUAAAAUAUUUAACAUCUAAAUAACUAGCUAAUUCAGCUUUCUGAAAUUUUGACAGUCACACAAUUUAUAUCACUAAUUUAAACUUCUCUACAAAGUUUCAUGAAAAUCUGUUUAUUUUGAUUUAGCAGCAGAACUCCUUUAAGUUUAAGAAUUGUCUUAACCAUUUUCGGACUAAAAUGCCACAUUUUCUUCUCAUCUUUCAGCGCUCUAUCUUUUGAUUUAAUCAACCUGGUAAAAAUUUUUUAAAUACCAUUUUCGAAUGCAAAAAGCUUUUUUUUUGCAGAUGUCGUCGUUAAAAUUGACCUACAAAGUCUUUGAAAAAAGUUACAACUCAUUUAUUUCAAAAAAGAGCCAAUUUUAAAAUGUUUUUCAAAAAUCCCACAUUUUGAGUUCAAGUGGCCAGAACAUCUCUACCAUGGUAGAAAUGUGUCAUUUGUAUCUGCUCUGAAAGAUCUCAUCGCGAUUUUUUCAAAAAUUCAAUAUGGCAAUUUUAAUAUGGCGGCUCAAAGUUCAGUAAAUUCAAAAAAAUUGAUAUUUUAUAAAUUUUUUUAUGGUUUAUAGAUUUUCUCACUAAAUAUAAUCUAAAACCGACUAGAAUUUAUCAACACCACAUAUAAAAUGCUUGAAAAUUAUAAAUAUUCCGAUAUUAUUGUCAAAUCAUUUUCAAUCUUAAGAAUCUAUGAUCUUUGAUGCAGAGACACUAUCGUUAGUAUUAGCGUCACCCAAGAUACACCAGUGUGGAGAUUGCUCAGUCGGACUUGUAUCUCUUUUGUGUGUGGGGAGGGUGUGUCCGUUGUGUGUACAAAUUUUUGAAAAAAAUUUGUGAAAAAAUCGACUUUUUUUCAAAAAAAUAAGCUGUAACUUAUACAGUUUCGUAGGUCAAUUUUGACGACGGCAUCUAAAAAAGGCUUUUUGCGUUCAAAAAAUUUUUACUAGGUUGAUUACAUAAAAAAAUAGAGUUAAAAGUUAAGAAGAAAAUGUGGCAUUUUGGUCUGAAAAGGGUUAAGCCACGAGCAGACUUAAGACUUACUUAACCAAUUAAAUAACAGUUUGAUUGACGUCUCAAGAUCGUACUUAAGAUGGAUCUUGAAUAAGAUAUCGGUCUAUGAAUUCUAACUCAAAAGAGUUAGAAUUUUUUGGAAGUCUUGAUAAUUAAAAAAUUAUGGUUUAAAAGAAACUUUAUAAACAUUUUUUAUGUGAAAUUUUCUGCUUUCAAUUGUUGGCAUUAAUUAAAAAAAAUGUUUAAUUAAAAAGUUAUUUGCCAAAAACUUCAAUUUUGCACUUAUUUUAUUAAAUAAAAAAAAGAACUCACCAUUUAAAGAAGUAGACAAUUUUUUUAUUUGAGAUAUAUUGAAGAAGAGGCUGGAUAUAUUUCAAAUAUAUUGAGUCUAGCCUGUUGCUAAUUUUUCCGCAGUCAAAAUCUAAGAACACUCCACUAAUAGUACAAUUAAUGAUUUCAAAGGCUCCAAAAUUUAAAGCUUCACAAUUAAAACCUUCGAAGAUCGCAUUUUCGAAGAAUUAUGUAAUUAUUAGAAAAAAGUGUAGAAUACUUGUAUAUAUAUAUAAUGUAAAUUAUAAAUUAGCAGUAAAACUACAAUCUACUUAUACGGAUUACAUUUUAAUGUUGAGAAUAUUCCAUCACUUUCGUAAGGGAAAAAGAAAGAAUAAUUAAACUCCAUGCAAUUAAUGAUUCCGAAUUGCAUGUUUCAUUGAUUCUCACUCUUCAUUGCUUCUUUCACAUUUUAAAUAUGGUAUUUAAUUGUCGACCAUUUGGAAAUGAGAAUUGUUUGAAUCGCCUUCAGGGCAUUAUCACGGACAAUGAACUGCGUGGGCAUGAAUCUCUGUCCAUAGAGUAUAGACAACAUUCGACUAUCUUAUCAACUUGCCGGAAAUAUCCAGGGAUAUGAAAUUCUUUUGUUAAAGAUCUUUUUAUGAUUUUAUUUAAUGUAUUUGUAAUAUUUUUCACAAAUAUCCAGUUAUUAAUUUUUAAUUAAUAACCCUGGUAGAAAUUUAGUACAGCUUUUGAUUGGUUAUUGGACAGUUUUACUGGUCUUUGUCCAGUAACUGAAUAGUAAACUAUCUAGGAUACCAAUCAAGAUGUAACGCUUUUCUCAUAGUUAUUGUAUAAAAAAACUGUAUACUAUCCGAAUUCAGUUACUUAACAGUUACUCAACAGUAAAAGUACCUCUUAAUCUUUUAACCUCUUAAUCUCUCUUGACAUUUUGUGACAGAACUACAUAUUUGAAAUUGUUCAACAAUUAAAAUAAAAAAUCAGGUCAGUUUCUAGGCAGUAUUUUUGUAUAUAAAGAGAAAUCAUUAAUACUAGAUAGUAAUGGAUUAAGUAGUCAGUUAAACUGUAUAAAUUUCUACCAGGAAAUAAUAGCUAUUUGUUUUUUCUUAUAAUAACACCUAUGUGAACCUAGCACCCCUUUUUAGAAAUUAAUUAUUUUAUGGAAUACAUUAGCAUUUUGUUUCUAGUUGUUUUGUAGUAACAAUAAUUAUGUUUGUAGUUUAAUAGAAUAAAAAAUGUUAAAAUUUUUAAAAAUAACUUGCACCUGACAUUGACAUCUAUUAAGCUAGCACUUUAGCAUAAUAGAAUAAAACUUACACAGAAAUUUGGUGCUCUUUAGUUGCUAAUUUGUUACUCAAAUCCCGUUUUUUUUUGCUCCAUAAUUAGCAAAAAAUUAGCUGUAAAGAAAUCUAGCUUUUUUUUAAUUAAAAAAAUUUGUCUUCUAUGAAUGUGCUAACUUUAAUCUUGAGUUAGCACAGCCACUAUUUUCUCUAAAUCGACUGGAGCAAAAAAAUAGGGACUUGAGUAACAAAUUAGCAACUAAAGAACAUUAAAUUUCUGUGUAAGUUUUAUUCGAUUGUGCUAAACUGACUAUGCCAGCUUAAUAAACGUAGAUCAAACGAUUCAAAUUUUUUUGCGGGACUCGAUUCAAUAUCGUUUGUAUAAGUUGUUUGUAGUAAUUUUGCUUUUUAUUUCGUUUGUAGCUGAACCGUUUGCGAGAUAUAAUUCAUUAUUACUUAAUUGUUUAAAUAAUUAUACCGCGCAAACAGUUGAACUAUAAACGAAAGCAAAAUCAUCACAAACAACUACAAACGAUUCUAAAUCGAGUCCCGCAAAAAUAUUCAAGAUAUCUCAAUGUCGGGUAAAAGUAAUUUUUUUUAAUUUUAAUAUUUUUUAUUCUAUUAAACUACAAACAAAAUUAUUGUUACUACAAACUACAAAUGCUAACGUUUUCUAUAAAAAAAAAAAAAUUAAAAGGUCGGGCGCUAGAUUUACACAAGUUACAUUAACACAUAAAUGAGAUAGGAUUAACUAUGUAUUAUAUAAGAAUUUUUGUUUUAGGAACCUUAUCAAUUAAACUUAUUACGAAUUCGUUUGAAAUUACUGAUAACUGAAAGUAUUCUGAAUUAGAAUUGUUAUUUUUGAUCAUUUGAAAGAUUAGAAGUUUCGAACCUUUCAAGGCUUCGAAAAUAUGUUCGUGCAAAUGACAAAUUUAUUCAGAGAAUACUAAAAAUAUUGUAAAUAAAAGAAUAAAUUAACAUAUGUAUAUUUGCCAAAAAUGGAAUUAUUCCUAAAUUAAAAUUUGAAAAUAUAACAUAUGGAAUAUUACACAUUUGAUAUAAUAGAGUAUUAAAAAGUUAAGCGAUUUUCAUUCAAUAAACAUGAAGUGAGCUCUCGAAAUAAAGAUAAUUAAUCAGACUCGACGUAUUUACACAAGUAAAUAAGUAAUGAUCAAUAAUACCACCUAAUUAAAAAGAUUAAAAGAAAGUAAUGGUCAAUAUUACAACCUAAUUAAAAAGUGAAAAAAUUAAUCUUAAAUAAAUAAAUAAAAAAUAUAAUACGUUAAUAAAAUGUUUUGAUUACUGACAAGUACUCAAGUGUUACAUUCCAAUUUUGAUAAGCUUUGAGUGUUUUGUAGUCUAGGUCAAAAUAAGAUACACAGUUUAUUAUGAAAUAUAUAUUUUACAUUACACAUCUUACACAUGUGUAAGAUAUUUUUUAUACGUGCCCAUACGGUCGUUAAGAAGGUAAAA